GCGCAUAUCCUCUCAACAGAUUCGAGUACAUUUCUUCUCGUGUGGCCACGCUAUGCACAUUCUUUGAUACAAAACAUGUCUGGAAGCCUCUUUUCGCUAUUAAGGAAACGGUGGAGCGAAGCAUAUAUUUUGAUUUUGAUUUCAUUUCAUUUCACCCAGGAAUGGAUUGAGGAACACUUGAGUGUCUUUAUCAGCGAUAAUUAGUUCAUAGUUUUUAAAAAUAC
rnacentral:lncRNA from 1 species